rnacentral:rRNA from 1 species
CUGGCUCAGGAUGAACGCUAGCUACAGCUAACACAUGCAAGUCGAGGGCAGCAUGGAGAGCAAUACUUCAGAUGGCGACCGGCGCACGGGUGAGUAACACGUAUCCAACCUGCCGCUUACUCGGGGAUAGCCUUUACGAAAGAAAGAUUAAUACCCGAUGGUAUAAAGAGUUCGCAUGUUCUCUUUAUUAAAGAAUUUCGGUAAGCGAUGGGGAUGCGUUCCAUUAGAUAGUUGGCGGGGUAACGGCCCACCAAGUCUACGAUGGAUAGGGGUUCUGAGAGGAAGGUCCCCCACAUUGGAACUGAGACACGGUCCAAACUCCUACGGGAGGCAGCAGUGAGGAAUAUUGGUCAAUGGACGAGAGUCUGAACCAGCCAAGUAGCGUGAAGGAUGACUGCCCUAUGGGUUGUAAACUUCUUUUAUAAGGGAAUAAAGUGAGGGACGUGUCCCUUUUUGUAUGUACCUUAUGAAUAAGGAUCGGCUAACUCCGUGCCAGCCGCAGC